CGGGAUGUGGCGCAGCUUGGUAGCGCAUCCGCUUUGGGAGCGGAGGGUCGCAGGUUCAAAUCCUGUCAUCCCGACCG
rnacentral:tRNA from 6 species